rnacentral:rRNA from 1 species
UACGGAGGGAGCUAGCGUUGUUCGGAAUUACUGGGCGUAAAGCGCACGUAGGCGGCUUUGUAAGUUAGGGGUGAAAGCCCGGGGCUCAACUCCGGAAUUGCCUUUAAGACUGCAUCGCUUGAAUCCGGGAGAGGUGAGUGGAAUUCCGAGUGUAGAGGUGAAAUUCGUAGAUAUUCGGAAGAACACCAGUGGCGAAGGCGGCUCACUGGACCGGUAUUGACGCUGAGGUGCGAAAGCGUGGGGAGCAAACAGGG